AGCGUCCAGCAUUGGAGAUAGAGGAGGACUUCCCUCCCCUUCCUAUCACCCUCUCGACUCUUGUACUUAUGGAUUGUCCGAAGAUAAAGGCUUUACCAAAUCAGUGGCAUCAUCUUACCUCCCUCCAGUCAAUAUAUAUUUAUGGUUGCCAGAAUAU